rnacentral:rRNA from 1 species
GAUGAACGCUGGCGGCGUGCCUAAUACAUGCAAGUCGAGCGAACAGACGAGGAGCUUGCUCCUCUGACGUUAGCGGCGGACGGGUGAGUAACACGUGGAUAACCUACCUCUAAGACUGGGAUAACUUCGGGAAACCGGAGCUAAUACCGGAUAAUAUAUUGAACCGCAUGGUUCAAUAGUGAAUGACGGUUUUGCUGUCUCUUAUAGAUGGAUCCGCGCCGCAUUAGCUAGUUGGUAAGGUAACGGCUUACCAAGGCAACGAUGCGUAGCCGACCUGAGAGGGUGAUCGGCCACACUGGAACUGAGACACGGUCCAGACUCCUACGGGAGGCAGCAGUAGGGAAUCUUCCGCAAUGGGCGAAAGCCUGACGGAGCAACGCCGCGUGGGUGAUGAAGGUCUUCGGAUCGUAAAACUCUGUUAUUAGGGAAGAACAAAUGUGUAAGUAACUAUGCACGUCUUGACGGUACCUAAUCAGAAAGCCACGGCUAACUACGUG